GUGUCUGAAGCCAAAGUGAUCGCGGCGCUGGUUUGUGACUCCAGUAGUAACGGGUUAAAGUCCCGUCAGACACCCCA
rnacentral:tRNA from 1 species